rnacentral:rRNA from 1 species
CUAAGGUAGCGAAAUUCCUUGUCGGGUAAGUUCCGACCCGCACGAAUGGCGUAACGACUGGAGCACUGUCUCAACGAGGGACCCGGUGAAAUUGAAGUAUGGGUAAAGAUGCCCAUUACCCGCAGCAGGACAAAAAGACCCCGUGGAGCUUUACUGUAGCUUGGCAUUGAGUUCGGUCAUAAUUUGUGUAGCAUAGGUGGGAGGCUUUGAAGCUGGAGCGCUAGCUUCGGUGGAGCCACCAGUGAAAUACCACCCUGAUUAUGUCUUGACCCUAACCCCACACCGUAAUCCGGGUGGGGGACCGUGCCUGGUGGGCAGUUUGACUGGGGCGGUCGCCUCCUAAAAGGUAACGGAGGCGCCCAAAGGUUCCCUCAGGCUGAAUGGAAACCUGCCAAAGAGUGUAAAGGCAUAAGGGAGCUUGACUGCAAGACCAACGCGUCGAGCAGAUACGAAAGUAGGGCUUAGUGAUCCCACGGUUCCGAGUGGAAGGGCCGUGGCUUACCGGAUAAAAGCUACCCCGGGGAUAACAGGCUAGUCUGGUCCAAGAGUUCACAUCGACGACCAGGCUCGGCACCUCGAUGUCGGCUCAUCGCAUCCUGGGGCUGGACAAGGUCCCAAGGGUUGGGCUGUUCGCCCAUUAAAGCGGUACGCGAGCUGGGUUCAGACCGUCGUGAGACAGGUCGGUCUCUAUCCGCUGUGGGCGUAAGGGAUUUGAGAGGAGCUGCCCCUAGUACGAGAGGACCGGGGUGGACAGACCUCUGGUGUGCCAGUUGUCGUGCCAACGGCAUCGCUGGGUAGCCACGUCUGGCAGAGAUAACCGCUGAAAGCAUCUAAGCGGGAAACUCGCUUCAAGAUUAGAUCCCUCAUCACGUUAGUGAGUAAGAUCGCAGGGAGACUACCUGCUUGAUAGGCCGCAAGUGUAAGUACAGCAAUGUAUUCAGCUAAGCGGUACUAAUGAUCGAGGACUUAACUC